CCCGGCGGCCCCUCGGCCCCGCCUCCCCCGGCCGGCCACGUCGGUCCCGGCCUCCUCGGCACCAGCGCCGCCGCCGUCGCCGCGGGCCCCCGCUGCAGCGCGCGCUUCCGGCCGCCGCGCCGGGGGGGCCGGCGCCGGGGCGCGCUUCCUGCUGCUGCCCGGCCCGGCCCGGCCCAGUGGGGCGGAAGCUGGGGCUCGCGGCCCGGCCCCGGGGCGCCCGGGCCCGGCCGAGGCGCGAGCGGCCUGAGCUCGGCCGCCCGAGCGCGCCUGCCCCCGGCGACCCCGCGGCGCGCUGCCACCGCCGCGGAAAGCGCAGCCCUCGCAGAGAGCCUUCGCGUUUGUCCCCUCGGAUCCGUAACGGGCCGGGGGUAUUUGUGGGUCGUUUGUGCCUCUCUGAGGGAGAGCGCACGAGAAGAAACGGCACCGGCUUCCGGACGGUGGGAUACAGACAAACGCGUGCUGGGGAAGACCUGCCCUUUGCAAAUAUAUUUAUUGGGAAUCUGUUUUGGAAAAAAACCUUUUACUUAGUUGGAUUAUAAAUUCUUUGGGCUGCAGAUGUGUAAAGAUAAGCACAACAGAAAAACUAUUUUCGAGAGGAAUUUCUGGAUGCUAGGGCAGAGGAAAGUAUGCCAGGACUUACCUCCAAAAGUUUUUAAAAGAUACAACGACCUUUAAACUAUCUGCUUCCUCCUUGUACAGUCUUUUUUAACAGCUGUUUUCCUACUGCCUGAAUAACCAUCAUCUGUCUUCCUGAAUCUCCCUCCAGUGGCUGACAGUUCCCUGGGCUGAUGGAUCAUAUCUGCGAUUAUCAUAGUUACAGACAGGGACUUCCUCAGGGUUUGAACGAAAACAUCUUUCAGUGGGGAAACUUCACCAGCAACAGGGCAGGAAAGAAGUUACAAGUGACAGAGGUUGUGUAAACCUGGAACUGAACAGAGCGCAACUGGAAGAAAAGUUCAUCUGAGGCACACAUGCUCCAGAAUUUAUCCCCCUGCCAAGGGCUUUAGAAGGCCUUGCUCCUCAUGAACUCCACUCAGCACCACCCUUCCCCUGCAGGAAUGAUUUACAGGAAAUGCAUAAAAGGAAAUAAUCACAGUUUUCCUACUUUAUUCACUUCAUUCAACAAACUUCUAAUCAGGAGGGAGUGAAUUGAUGUGACCUUUUAGUGAUGGAACCUUAUGGGAGCUACCACCAACCAGGUACCAUGAAUAUAUCCCCCUGGGGCACAUGGGGGCAUUGGUUUUAGUCAUGGGUGCCUUCAGACAGAUGAAAGCAGGUGCUAUCACCCCCCUGAUUCCUUCAGCUUUCUCUCAUUUCAUUCAGCAGGUGUUAGUCAAAUUCAUUUCUCAUCAUCUAGAGGUGAAGGUAACAGCCUGACAAAAAAGAAAUGACUGAUGAAAAGCCUACCUCCACCAGUCCAAAGCCCACAAACCCUAGCAUGUAGUAGUUUGGCACUGGUUUAGAAGAGCAUUGCUCCAUAAUUGUUAGUCCUCACACUGCACAUUGAUCUUGUGUUCAUGUCAUCCUCCUUUUCCGUCUUCAUUCUUUGGGCAGAUAGACCUCAGUUGCUUAGCGUUGCUUCAGUGUAAAAUAACACAUGGUGCUUGUGGUGUGGGAAGGAAGCUGGCUGUGAGAGAUAAAGGUUGAGGUUAAGAGCAGACCGACUGUUAUGCUCCUGGGGCUUUGCUGCUCUUUGUAUAACCUUGGUGUGGCUGAGUGAUACAAAUCAGCACUAACUCUUCUGAUAAAAUCCAUCCACCAGAGGCGACAAGCAGCCCUACCUCCACAUCUUUUUGGAGUUAUUACUGCCCUGACAUUCCAAAAUGUCCAGAUGAUCAAAAGUUAUUUUUCCAUUAUAGUAGUAAAAGAGAGCAACAGAGUCUUUAGUUGGGGCUCAGAGACUUGGAAAAGAAAAUGAGCGAGUAAUUGAAUAAAAACAUGUAUCAGAGGAGCUGAAGGAAACAAAAGGCUUCUGGGAAAUUCCAAGAUUGCCUCAGAAAAGAAAAGUCACUGAAAAUGUUUGUGCAAAACCACCAUCUUCUCCUUCCUUCCCACAAGCACUAGUGCAACUCACUUUGAAAGAGAAAGAAAGAAUCAGAGAGCAAGAAACAGUUCACCCAGCUGUCCCACUCUGCAAAGCCCCACUGCUUUACUUCACCCAAACCAGACAAUCAAGCAGAAAUGCAAAAUCAUGCCAUUUAUGACCUAAAGAAACAAAGCUCAAUCUUUGCAUGGGUGGGGGAGAGAUACAGUCAAGCAUCACCAAAUGGAACAAAUGUGGGGUAGAAAUGAUCUAGUUGCUUUAUCUUUUUUUUUUCUCUGUGCAAGCCUUGAUUAUUUUUCUUCCUUCUACUUCACCAAAAAGUGAAGAAAAUCAGAAGGGUGUUGUUGUCUAUAUGUGUGUGAAAAUAAAGACUUUGUUUAUGCACUAUUCCAUUAUCCAUUUUUUAGUGCUGAAGCAUUAUGGCUCAGCCCUACAACAUUUCUACCAUAAAAGGUGAGAUGUUGUAAGUUAUUUCUCUUUCACCUGACAAAAACAGUAUCCUCUGUGAAACAAAAAGUGGCAUUAAAUGGCAGAGAAGUUAACCUUCAUUGCUGAGGUUGAUGGUGCUGCUCAGGACUGGAAUUAUAUAGGCUAUACCUAUACUGUCAUGUUAGCUCUCUGAUUACCUACCCUGCCCAAACGCUAGCUUUUGCAUGGCUCUCCUCUGGAGAAAACUUUCUGGCUUAGAGUGGAGGUCUGCCUCUAAUGGAGUUGUGGAGGCACCUGGCUGGAGUCACUUGCUUCCAGGACUGCAAAUAGAAAAGGAAGUCCAGCUUCACUGCACAUAGUCCUAGAGACUGAGACUGAUGGUUCUGAAAGCUGGAGACUGAGACUGAUGGUUCUGGAAGAUGCUGCACCAAAAUUAUUCCUUAACUCUUUAGCGGAAAAGAAGAGACAGGAAGCAUUGAAAAAAGAAAGAUCUGAACUGAUCUCCUCCUCAGAGUGGUCCUUAAUCCAUUUUCAGAAAAUCUUCUAUCUGAUCUUCUGAAGUUUUAUGCAGUAAAGAAGGUUCUUAAGUUUCUGAAGGCUAAGUGUGGAUUUACCAGGGAGGUCUAUGACAGCUGCAGCCUCUCCCUAAGCAAUGCCCAGAGCAGGGUGUUUGCAACAAUUGUGUCAUCUGAUUCAGACUCAAGCUGUCGGCUCAAAAGGAAAAAAAUACAGUAAGAAGCUGCGUAACUGAAACAUGCGACAAGCAUAAUGUUAAAUGAGGCUAAAACUGCAAAAAAUUCACAGAGGAAACAAAACUCUGCCGUUACCCUGAGUUCAGCUCCAUCACAUAAUCCUGACAUAAGAAAGUUGUUCCCUGUAAGAAAAUUUGGUGUAGCCAGAAUGGAAUUGGUAUUUAGAAAUCCUCUGUCACUCUCAAGACACAAUUUGCAUAUUUUAGGUACUGAUUUUGUUAAAGCAAAGGUAAAACAUUUGCUUUAAGCAAUAAAUGAAGUUAAUGAUUCACUUUUUCUUAAGUUCUGAUUACAUCAUGGAAAGUAUUUUUCUGCACUGGUUUAGCUGCAAAAGUACUGCUGAUUUUAUGUUUUAUAGAUCAGAUUCAGCUCUGAGAAGAAUUAGAUUAUUUAUUGUUAAAAUACCUAGUAGCCUAAAUAUUCCAACGACUGCAGUUUAAAUCAAGAGAAUUCAGGACCUAUGAAAAUCUAGUCUAAGUGUCUAAGGAGAGAACAAACUGUUUCCCUUACACAUUGUAGAAACUGAACACAGUCAAUGUUUCAAAUUCCCUACUAGGUCCUACUACCCAAGUCAUCACAGACCUAUGCAUCCUUGCGUAUCAGUUGUUUCCCCCCCACCCCCCGUUGUUAAUCCUACCUCUAAAUUAAAGAGAAUUAUGCUUCAAUGAAUGUUAGAAUAUAUUUUGACCUAAGGCUGAAUCAAGAAAUUGAUGGACUGGAAUACAUAAGUUACCAGGUUAGUUUGAAAGUGAUGAGACUGCAUUUAUAUUUUGAACUUUUAGUCUUCAUUUCUUUUUUCUCUUUCUCCAUUGCCUCAAUCCUUUUUUUGUCUGUCAAUAAAUACAAACAAUCAAACAAUGAAAUAAGCAUAUAAACAUAAACCAUAUUUCACAAAAUGAGUUCUAAAGAGUUGCAGCUUAGCAAAAUGAGGUUAUGAGGGGUUAAAAGAAGCUGCUGACUACUAGAAAUGUAACAUAGGGUAGAGAACAGUGAGAGUGAUUACCUGACCAGUGAAUUGGAGGGAACAAAUGGAGGUACAGAGUGAAGUGUGCAGAGUAAUUUUCAAAUUAAGAAAAAUCAAAACAAAUAGAGUUGAAGUAAUCUAUGUGUAUAGAAUGGCUACUGGAGGAAUGAUGUUUCCUGCUGUCCUUAUUUCUUUGUGAAGGCCUAGAAAGCUGUACAUUUAUGAUGCUUACUUAAGGCCUUCUAUAAUCUUGGCAAGAACAGCUAAAAGAAAAGCUAGAGGAUCCAGUUCAGAGACUGGCCAGUUAGGAGAGAGAACAGUGGCUUGGCAUUUUUAGAAAGUUCUCUCUGAAAAAAAUAGAAAGAAAUAAUUGAACAAAAUGUAAUCAAAUGUAACCAACUUAGUCCUCUAUAGCACAGAUCUGGCUCUUAAAAAAACACUGGGCAGGUCCACAUCCUUCAGGCUGCUUUCCAUUUUCAAAUCUGCCCUCACAUGAUACAGUUUAUUACAAAUUAUGCCUAUAUACACAGAGGGUGAUUUUCUUGCCUUAAAGACAGUUUUGUACCUACUUGACAUGCAAAGUGCUAUACCAAACCAACCAAUCAAUGCUUUCUCUGCAGAGAGGCACGGAAAAAAAUUUUAACUACAAGAUUCUCUCAGCUUCCUAAGCUCUUAAAAGUCACUAGUCCUGAACACUUUCUGAGUACAUUUGCAUAAAAUGAACCCCUUCCCUUCUAUUUCUUGCCUCACACAUUAGAUUAUUUUCAUACUGCAUUCUUGGAGACCACUAAUAUGUUAAAAAUUUCAGAGAGCAUGUACGAUUCUAACAAGCACACAAAGUUUAAGAGGACUGAAAACUCCUGGUUUUCCUGAUCAUCUUCACUGGCUUUGCAUGUUAGUGUUAUGAAAAUGAAUGAUAAUUUGUGAUUUGUCCUCUGAUAACUUAAAUUUCUAUCUGCAGAAGUUAGUAAUACUCACUUUGGAUAGGUCACAAGGAGAAAAUCAUGUUAAGCUAGAAACAGAUUGAAAAUAAUCAUCAAACCUCUGGAAAACAUCUGGAAGCUAGUUGUGAGCUGUGGUCAAAGUUGAAUAAAGUAAAUGAGGAAGAA